CCAAUAAUAAGAGCGAAUUGUGCAUCCAUCAUAUUAUUGAGUAACAACCCUAGAAACGAAAAACGAAGCUUACAUGAGCACCCUCCCAUACUUGACUUGAACUGGACUUGAUACUCUGGCUUUCGACGUUAAGAUACCUUAUACUGGACUUGAUACCCUAGUUUCUUGUUCCGUUACAUAGGCAUCGGCACCCUUUCUUUCUCUUUUAUCUAUACAAAAC
rnacentral:lncRNA from 1 species